rnacentral:misc_RNA from 1 species
CAACCCUCAAGCCCCCGGGCUUGGUGCUGGGGAUCGGCCGUCAUGGGCCGGCCCCGAAAUCCAUUGGCGGUCCCGCUAGAAGCCUCCUCUGCGUAGUAGCAACACCUCGCACUGGAACGGCUCGCGGUGGCCAUGCCGUGAAACCCCAACUUUCUGAAU